AUCACCAAACUGUUUUGAAAGAUAAAAGUACUUCCUGAAUAUGUGGAUGGUGAGCCACGUGAAUGGAAGACAUGGAGAUAUGGACUGUUAACACCUUGUCAAACAUUUAUUGUCCCUUCCACCUCUAAACUUCUGUGAUAAUAGGUGAACAGGACCCACGUGGUGCAGAAUACUGCGAUACACACUGCGGAAUAAUUCAGAACAACACGUGGAUUGCUCAGUACAACUUGUUCAUCACAUCCUCCUGUUCACUGAAGAAUUAUGGAAAUAUUCUCUGAGCUGCUUUCCUCCCUGCCCAACGAGUCAUCUCUGUGUGAAAGGCCAAGCUUAUAAAUCCUGGGACUGGGAGUUGGAGAGGGGAGACUGGAGAGAGUAGGAAGGUUUUGGUAUCAAGAUGAUGCUGGCCUCAUAAAUUGAGAAGAAAGAGACAUUAUACAAAUGCAAGCUGUUGUCACAACAAUGAUAAGAAAUCAGGAGUCGAAAGAUGUGGAGUAAGGGGGAAUUUCAGAGAAACCACAAAACACAAAAUAGGAAACAGAGACAGGAGAAGAUUGCUAUGACAAAAUUGCAGAAGGUGAAAUCUUUGGCAGCCUCUUAUUUCUCUGGAGAAUAUGAUAUUGUCAGGCUGAGGUGGAAGAAUCACAUGGUCAUACUGUUGAAGAGGUCUUGAAACAUUGGGCUUUCCUCUACAAGCGGAAGGAUAGCACUGGCAGCCAUCCACUGGCCCAGCAAUAUCCUGGAUUGAGACGAUAUCAUUUGCAUUACUUGCUGAAUGAAACAUAGUGAAAAUGACUGCAGAUAACCUCAACUAAGUCCAAGAUAUCAUUUUCAAAUCUGGACCAGCCCUUGCCAUCUAGACUGAACAGAGAUUCCAGUUUCCAGGAGAGUAGAUGGAGUAAUGAUAAAAGCACCUCCCAAAACUUUUGCCUUGUGAUUGGCAAAAAAGAGAGACAUCAAUAUGGACUGAAGUCACAGAAUGAGUUUCCUGGGAGAGAUGCUUCUUGAUAUGACCCUAGAAGCUCCAUCAAAACUUAUAAAAUCUUGGGAAGAGGAACUGUGGCCCAUCACUGAUCAUUUCAUCUAUUAAGUGACCACUUAUUGUCUUAUAAUAGGAGAUGUUCUGGAAACAUGCAUUGAAUCGAAGUGGCUUUGAGGAAGCAUGAAGAGAAAACAGGAUGGCAUCCUUUUGGCACCAUUUCUUAUGCUAUAAUAAGGAUUCCUUCUGUUUACACAUAAAACAGAAGAGUUUAAUCACCCCAGCAAUCUUUAACUUGGUAAUGAAGGCCAUAAAUUAAAUUUUAAGCAAAGUUAAAGAAGAUGAGAUGAAAUAUAAAACAAAAACAUCAUCAGAAUCUGCCCAGGAACAAUAUUCUUGACACCAAACCAUGACAUUAUGGGGCUCAGUUGUUUGUUUCUAGGGCAGCCCCUUGUUUUAUGUGCCAAAUAGCAUUUCCCUAAAUAAAACUGCAUGGAACAAAA
ensembl:lncRNA LINC01478 long intergenic non-protein coding RNA 1478